rnacentral:rRNA from 1 species
UACGUAGGUGGCAAGCGUUGUCCGGAAUUAUUGGGCGUAAAGAGCUCGUAGGCGGUCUGUUGCGUCCGCUGUGAAAACUCGGGGCUUAACCCCGAGCCUGCAGUGGAUACGGGCAGACUAGAGGUAGGUAGGGGAGAAUGGAAUUCCCGGUGUAGCGGUGAAAUGCGCAGAUAUCGGGAGGAACACCGGUGGCGAAGGCGGUUCUCUGGGCCUUACCUGACGCUGAGGAGCGAAAGCGUGGGAGCGAACAGG